rnacentral:rRNA from 1 species
CGGGACGGGUGAGUAACGCGUGGGUAACCUGCCUCAUACAGGGGGAUAACAGUUAGAAAUGACUGCUAAUACCGCAUAACCCGAUAGGAUCGCAUGAUCCAGACGGAAAAGAUUUAUCGGUGUGAGAUGGACCCGCGUCUGAUUAGCUAGUUGGUGAGGUAACGGCCCACCAAGGCGACGAUCAGUAGCCGGCCUGAGAGGGUGAACGGCCACAUUGGGACUGAGACACGGCCCAA